GACGAACGCUGGCGGCGUGCUUAACACAUGCAAGUCGAACGGUGAUGCGGAGCUUGCUCCGCGGAUCAGUGGCGAACGGGUGAGUAACACGUGAGUAACCUGCCCUUGACUCUGGGAUAAGCGUUGGAAACGACGUCUAAUACCGGAUAGGACCUUCACAGGCAUCUGUGGGGGUGGAAAGAUUUUUCGGUCAUGGAUGGACUCGCGGCCUAUCAGCUUGUUGGUGGGGUGAUGGCCUACCAAGGCGACGACGGGUAGCCGGCCUGAGAGGGAGACCGGCCACACUGGGACUGAGACACGGCCCAGACUCCUACGGGAGGCAGCAGUGGGGAAUAUUGCACAAUGGGCGAAAGCCUGAUGCAGCAACGCCGCGUGAGGGAUGACGGCCUUCGGGUUGUAAACCUCUUUUAGCAGGGAAGAAGCGAAAGUGACGGUACCUGCAGAAAAAGCACCGGCUAACUACGUGCCAGCAGCCGCGGUAACAC
rnacentral:rRNA from 1 species